GAUCCUGGCUCAGAACGAACGCUGGCGGCAGGCUUAACACAUGCAAGUUGAACGGGAUUUGUGUGGUGCUUGCACCAUAUAAUGAGAGUAGCGCACUGGUGAGUAACACGUGGGAACGUGCCUUUUAGUGGGGGAUAACAUCUGGAAACGGAUGCUAAUACCGCAUACGCCCUGAGGGGGAAAGAUUUAUUGCUAAGAGGUCGGCCCGCGGUAGAUUAGGCAGUUGGUGGGGUAAAGGCCUACCAAAACCAUACG
rnacentral:rRNA from 1 species